UACAGAGGGUGCAAGCGUUGUUCGGAAUUACUGGGCGUAAAGCGCGUGUAGGCGGCAACGCAAGUCGGGCGUGAAAUCCCACGGCUCAACCGUGGAAGUGCACUCGAAACUGCGUAGCUAGAGUCCUGGAGAGGAAGGUGGAAUGCUUGGUGUAGAGGUGAAAUUCGUAGAUAUCAAGCGGAACACCGGUGGCGAAGGCGGCCUUCUGGACAGUGACUGACGCUGAGACGCGAAAGCGUGGGGAGCAAACAGG
rnacentral:rRNA from 1 species